AUGGUGGCCGAGGACAAGCUCCUUUGUGAGUGUUGGAGGGACAUUGGGCAAGACCCCAAGGUCGGCACCAAACAAAAGGCAUCAACCUUUUGGAUUCGUGUCCACCGUGAGUUCCAUGAGCACGAGAAGUUUCCGCCGUACCAAAUGCAAAGCACGCGCGGGUGGGUGUCCAUUUCGAAGCGAUGGAGGGUGAUCCAACAAGAGUGCAACAAGUUUUGUGUCACUCUUGAGAACGUCAAGGCCCGCCCCGUGAGCGGCAUCGACAUGUAAUACAUGGUAUGCAAGCGUCCCUCUUUUGUGUCAUUCUGUUUAUACUUGCAUGUCCAUUUCCAUGUCCAUUUUGCCAAUAUGCUUGCAUGCAAUACAUUUGUAGGCAUUCCAAGCUUUGGAGGCAUUCAAGGUCCAACACGACGGCAAGUGCUUCAACCUCUCCCAUUGUUGGAGGGUCAUCAAAGACGAGGAGAAGUUCAAGGCGCAAUAUGUCGCCCUCAAGUCGCGUGGGGGGAAGAGGGCCGUGGAGGAGGAAGGCGGCGAGAAGCCACGCCCGCGGGGGAAGACCGACUCCAAGAAGGAGGACAAGCGGGAUGCGGCGUCGAACGUGUUGGUCGCAAGCGUGGAGGGCAUGAUGAGUAA
rnacentral:rRNA from 1 species